CCUACGGGAGGCAGCAGUGGGGAAUCUUGCGCAAUGGGCGAAAGCCUGACGCAGCCAUGCCGCGUGAAUGAUGAAGGUCUUAGGAUUGUAAAAUUCUUUCAGUAGGGACGAUAAUGACGGUACCUACAGAAGAAGCCCCGGCUAACUUCGUGCCAGCAGCCGCGGUAAUACGAAGGGGGCUAGCGUUGCUCGGAAUUACUGGGCGUAAAGGGAGCGUAGGCGGGUUAUCAAGUUGGAGGUGAAAGCCCAGGGCUCAACCUUGGAAUUGCCUUCAAAACUGAUAGCCUAGAGUAUGAUAGAGGUAUGUGGAACUCCGAGUGUAGAGGUGAAAUUCGUAGAUAUUCGGAAGAACACCAGUGGCGAAGGCGACAUACUGGGUCAUGACUGACGCUGAGGCUCGAAAGCGUGGGGAGCAAACAGGAUUAGAUACCCUGGUAGUCCACGCUGUAAACGAUGAUUGCUAGUUGUCGGACGGCAUACCGUUCGGUGACGCNGCUACGCAUAGACACUACCGCCGUCGGGAGGUACGGUCGCGAAGAAUUAAAACGUUAAAAGGUAAAGUUAGUACGGACGUGAGACGUCGACCGAACGGACGACGACGAGGGAGGAGG
rnacentral:rRNA from 1 species